GGGGGUGUAGCUCAACGGCAGAGCAGGGGCCUUUUAAGCCCAAGGUUUAGGGUUCGAAUCCCUACGCCCCUACCA
rnacentral:tRNA from 1 species